UCUACGGAACAGGAGGCUAGCUAAUGGCGGAUUCAUGCAUGCAUGCAUGCAUUCAUGCUUGCCGAGAUCGAAAAUCUCAAUUAAGGGCAUAUACAACGGGUCUCUGCAAGGGUCGUCUACAUGUGGCAAUUUUUACAAAAAGCCCCCUGGCGAGCAUGGAAGGCACCGAGCCCGUCGUCUCGCGAAGAGACGAGGACGGCUCGUGCUCCGAUGCUCGAAGAGACGAUGGCUUCCGCGUUGUACGAGCUCGUCGUCGCUUCGCGGAUCCAGUGCAUCUCGCGGGAAGGAUUGCGCUGAAAUCCCUAUCCCCUUCCACCUUUCACCAUAUAUCCUGCUUCCUUUUUCGUCUUCUCCCAGCACAGAUCGAAAAUGUCUAGUAUGGAGCCAUGGAGGCGGCGGCGACCACGGAUCGAGCUCAAGGGCGCGACAGCGACGAGGACGGACAAGGCCUCGGUAGCAGCCAGAAAGACCAAGGACAGAUCAGCCGCGACGGCCUUCUCCGCAGUCGGACGCGGCCACCACCACCCCUUCGGUCGCGGCAACGGCUCAGUGUCGAUCAUGGCGGGAGCAGCCCCCGCGGAGGUGGUUUUCCAUUCCCUACGUCUUCGUCUUCUGCUUGGUGGGAACUUGGUUGCGAUGGCAAUUCAAUUUGUCCAUCUUGGACGAGAACCAGAAAGCUAGUUGUAGUCCUAGCUGAACAAGCCGUAGCUGCUGAUGUAUGGAGCUGUCAUGCUUUUAUUUUGUAUUUUCAUAGUACCUUGAAAAAAUUCUAAUUUCUUUGGUUGCAUGCUGAUGAAUGGAGUUUGUGUGAACUUUCUCUUA